AAGAUAUUAGUAAAAUGAAUAACAUCACCUUGUCAAGGUGAAAUUGUAGGUUAAAUCCCUGCAUGUCUUA
rnacentral:tRNA from 1 species